UACAGGGGGGGCAAGCGUUGUUCGGAAUUACUGGGCGUAAAGGGCUCGUAGGCGGCCGGCUAAGUCCGACGUGAAAUCCCCAGGCUUAACCUGGGAACUGCGUCGGAUACUGGCAGGCUUGAAUCCGGGAGAGGGAUGUGGAAUUCCAGGUGUAGCGGUGAAAUGCGUAGAUAUCUGGAGGAACACCGGUGGCGAAGGCGGCAUCCCGGACCGGUAUUGACGCUGAGGCGCGAAAGCCAGGGGAGCAAACGGG
rnacentral:rRNA from 1 species